rnacentral:rRNA from 1 species
UUGUCUCAAAGAUUAAGCCAUGCAUGUCUCAGUACAAGCCGAAUUAAGGUGAAACCGCGAAAGGCUCAUUAAAUCAGUUAUGGUUCCUUAGAUCGUACCCACAUUUACUUGGAUAACUGUGGUAAUUCUAGAGCUAAUACAUGCAAACAGAGCUCCAACCGGAAACGGAAGGAGCGCUUUUAUUAGAUCAAAACCAAUCGGUGGCGAAUCCGUCAUCGUACAACUUGGUGACUCUGAAUAACUUUACGCUGAUCGCACGGUCUCGCACCGGCGACGCAUCUUUCAAAUGUCUGCCUUAUCAACUGUCGAUGGUAGGUUCUGCGCCUACCAUGGUUGUAACGGGUAACGGGGAAUCAGGGUUCGAUUCCGGAGAGGGAGCCUGAGAAACGGCUACCACAUCCAAGGAAGGCAGCAGGCGCGCAAAUUACCCACUCCCGGCACGGGGAGGUAGUGACGAAAAAUAACGAUACGGGACUCAUCCGAGGCCCCGUAAUCGGAAUGAGUACACUCUAAACCCUUUAACGAGGAUCAAUUGGAGGGCAAGUCUGGUGCCAGCAGCCGCGGUAAUUCCAGCUCCAAUAGCGUAUAUUAAAGUUGUUGCGGUUAAAAAGCUCGUAGUCGAAUCUGUGUCCCGCGCCGCCGGUUCAUCGUUCGCGGUGUUAACUGGCGUGCCGCGGGACGUCCUGCCGGUGGGCUUAGCUCGAGAGGGCGGCCCAACUCAAUCCCGCCGCGGUGCUCUUCAUUGAGUGUCGAGGUGGGCCGGCACGUUUACUUUGAACAAAUUAGAGUGCUUAAAGCAGGCUAAAACUUCGCCUGAAUACUGUGUGCAUGGAAUAAUGGAAUAGGACCUCGGUUCUAUUUUGUUGGUUUUCGGAACCCCGAGGUAAUGAUUAAUAGGAACGGAUGGGGGCAUUCGUAUUGCGACGUUAGAGGUGAAAUUCUUGGAUCGUCGCAAGACGGACAGAAGCGAAAGCAUUUGCCAAAAACGCUUUCAUUGAUCAAGAACGAAAGUUAGAGGUUCGAAGGCGAUCAGAUACCGCCCUAGUUCUAACCAUAAACGAUGCCAGCUAGCGAUCCGCCGACGUUCCUCCGAUGACUCGGCGGGCAGCUUCCGGGAAACCAAAGCUUUUGGGUUCCGGGGGAAGUAUGGUUGCAAAGCUGAAACUUAAAGGAAUUGACGGAAGGGCACCACCAGGAGUGGAGCCUGCGGCUUAAUU